AUGGAGAAUCUGGUUCAUUGGCAAGUGAGCACUUCCACAGUUAAUGACACCAAGAGAGGUUUCCAAGUCAACUUUGAUGCCAAAAGAGCCAUCUUCUCCUCCACACCGAGUUUUGUGGAAGUCCCAAACAAAAUCUCUGCCACUGAGCAAAGGAAGAGGAGUCAAAUCAAGGCCGACAACAUAGAUGUCAUGCGCCAACCAUACAUCAGCGUCAAACCCCAGACUGAUGAUUCAGUGUUUUUAUUCGGCAACAGAAGGAAAGGGCAAGGGAGCGGCAUCACUGCUUCGCAAAAGGAUGUUUUGGUCAGGAAGGAGACACAACUCACAAGAAGAAAUCAGGAGGCACCUUCCAUGGCCUGUAUUUCAGCAGAUGCGUCAAGAAACAAGGUCAACAACUGUGAGUGAACAUCUCUAAUUUGAUCCCUUAACACUAUGUAACAAAAUUUGAAGCAUUUUCUGUUACUGGUUUGAAAGUGUUAUUUCCUGUUUAAUUGUGUGGCACUUACUUUGAAAAUAGUUGUUCUACUCCAGAAAGUUUGUUUUUUGUGGCUGCCACAAACUAGGUUGAAUGGGUUGAGACUCAAUGCGAUAUUUAUUGAAAAACUAUAGCAAAUGUGCUACAAAAACCAAAGUUUUUGCAAUUUUGGAAACUUUUCCCAUGUUCGUCUGAUAGAACCAAUUAGGAAACGACAUUUAUAACCCAGGAACAAAAAUUGUGUUAUAUCGUGUGAUCCUUUCUUUUCAUUGAGACACCAGAGGCACUCAAUAUCUAUCAAAAGCACAACAGGCAAAAAGAGGAGAGCAUGAGAAAGAGAGCAAAUGAAUUUUGCAGAUAGGAAUAUGAUGGCAAACUGAUAUCCAGGGCUAGAUUUGCCUAGAAAAAUAACUGACUCAUUUGUGGCACGAUUGAGCCAGUUUUGUUUAUAGUUUUGGAAGCAAUGCAAUAAAAAUAACCACAUGACGGAUUGAAGUGGUCAACACACGUUUUGGUGCUUCCAAUGUUAGACAUGUUUUGGGAUAUAUUUGACCUCCUAAUUCCAAAAAUAGCACCAAUUUCCCCCUCUCAGCUUUAAGUUUUGAGAUACAGAACUUAUGCCAUUUACUAGCCUUUAUUGGCUCGUCCACAUAAAACCAUGCUAACUUUAUGUCUCUAAGAAACUAUAGCUGAUGCUGCCUAUCGAAUACAAUUUUCUGAAUCAGUCUCCCAAAUAACCCCAGGAACAGGCCUAAAAACCAAGACACCAAGAGUUGGACUGUGUUAUUUUUCCCAAUGCAAAAGAGCCAUGUGAUCAACAUGAUAUCAUGGAGGAUUGUGCCAUUUAAGGAUGCAAAUUCUGGAGCAGUGGAUAAUGUUUACUAAUCAAUUUGAAACUUUAUUAUUUUGGAGCACUUUUAAAUUUUUUUAAUAUUUUAGAAGUCAAAACUAAUGAGUAACACAGCUUCCAAAUAACAAGCAACCAACUACCAAGUAACAAAACUAACAAGUAACGUAACAUCAGCGAAUCAAAUGAAACACUAUUACAUUAUCUCUAGAGGACAGUAUCAAAUCCUAAUAUUUCUUGGUCAGUCCUUUGUUGAAUAUUAUCUGUUAAAAUUUACUUAGAGGACACCAACUAUGGCAUUAUAACCUUUGCAAAGGCUUAGAUUGCCACCUGCUGGUGAAGGUGAUAUUUCAUUUUUAUUUUAUUAUUUAAGAAGGACUAAUAAAUAAAAGCAGACAAGCCAUGCUGGAUCACAGUAAAGAUCCAUUGAGCUCAACG
ensembl:lncRNA